ACCGCUGAGCCACCUUCCCAGCCCAGGUAUAACUUAAAUAAAGCAGGGGCUGGGAAGGUGGCUCAGCGGU
rnacentral:pre_miRNA from 1 species